rnacentral:rRNA from 1 species
UUUCCGGUUUGAACUCAGAUCAUGUGCGGGGUAGAGGUCGAACAGACCUUGUGAAAAUAGCUUCUGCACUAUUUGUAGCCGCAAUUCAACAUCGAGGUCGCAAACAAUUAUUUUAAUAAGGGCUUAAAUAAUUAUAACGCUGUUAUCCCUAGAGUACCUUAUUCGUCUAAUUUAAUAAAGAUCAUUGUUAAUAUAAAUAGUCCUAUUUAAAUUUACCCC